UACAUGGUGGAUCACACCUGUGCAUCCUUUGUUCUGCACAAUUUCAGACUCUACCACGGUGAUGAAUACCCUCUGGUUGCUGUUGGAGAAGAUCACCCAGAUCUGGAGGACGAAAUAGAUUUCGAAUAUGGAAAUGAGGAUGACAUUGAGGAUGAAGUGGGUGAUAUUCCUGAUCCUUUUGAGGAGCAGAAUGCCGCAGCUGUAGUCAACCAACGCAAAGUUCGUGGGGAGCAGCGAAGAUGGAACUUAUGCAACUCUCUAUGAUAAUUAUUCAGUAUGUAAACUGACAAGUAACUUGUAUAUAGCCAUUGAUUUUUUAAAAAACUGUGACAGUGAUGGUUAUGUACAAGAAAAUAUUUAAAUUUGCUUGAUACCACAAGCCUCAUUUUUUUAUUUAUUGUAAGGACAUAAAGCAAUUGU